AUUGAACGCUGGCGGCAUGCCUUACACAUGCAAGUCGAACGGUAACAGGUCUUCGGAUGCUGACGAGUGGCGAACGGGUGAGUAAUACAUCGGAACGUGCCUAGUAGUGGGGGAUAACUACUCGAAAGAGUGGCUAAUACCGCAUGAGAUCUACGGAUGAAAGCAGGGGAUCGCAAGACCUUGUGCUACUAGAGCGGCCGAUGGCAGAUGAGGUAGUUGGUGGGAUAAAAGCUUACCAAGCCGACGAUCUGUAGCUGGUCUGAGAGGACGAACAGCCACACUGGGACUGAGAAACGGCCCAGACUCCUACGGGAGGCAGCAGUGGGGAAUUUUGGACAAUGGGCGCAAGCCUGAUCCAGCAAUGCCGCGUGCAGGAUGAAGGCCUUCGGGUUGUAAACUGCUUUCGUACGGAACGAAAAGCCCCGGGUUAAUACCCUGGGGUCAUGACGGUACCGUAAGAAUAAGCACCGGCUAACUACGUGCCAGCCGCCGCCGUAA
rnacentral:rRNA from 1 species